rnacentral:rRNA from 1 species
UGGGGAAUUGUUCACAAUGGGCGCAAGCCUGAUGACGCAACGCCGCGUGGGGGAUGAAGGUCUUCGGAUUGUAAACCCCUGUCGAAUGGGACGAAAGACUCGCGAGUUAAUACUUCGCGGGAGUGACGGUACCGUUAAAGGAAGCCACGGCUAACUCUGUGCCAGCAGCCGCGGUAAUACAGAGGUGGCAAGCGUUGUUCGGAAUUACUGGGCGUAAAGGGCGCGUAGGCGGCCUACUAAGUCAGACGUGAAAUCCCCCGGCUUAACCUGGGAACUGCGUCUGAUACUGGAAGGCUUGAGUAUGGGAGAGGGAUGUAGAAUUCCAGGUGUAGCGGUGAAAUGCGUAGAUAUCUGGAGAAUACCGGUGGCGAAGGCGGCAUCCUGGACCAUUACUGACGCUGAGGCGCGAAAGCGUGGGGAGCGAAACAGGAUUAGAUACCCCCGUAGUCCCUGAGCGGGCUGGCAAGGCGCAU